GGGCCUGUAGCUCAAUGGUUAGAGCCGGCCGCUCAUAACGGUCUGGUUGGGGGUUCAAGUCCCUCCAGGCCCACGA
rnacentral:tRNA from 1 species